UACGAAGGGGGCUAGCGUUGUUCGGAAUCACUGGGCGUAAAGGGCGCGUAGGCGGCUUGAUAAGUCGGGGGUGAAAGCCUGUGGCUCAACCACAGAAUUGCCUUCGAUACUGUCUGGCUCGAGACCGGAAGAGGUAAGUGGAACUGCGAGUGUAGAGGUGAAAUUCGUAGAUAUUCGCAAGAACACCAGUGGCGAAGGCGGCUUACUGGUCCGGUUCUGACGCUAAGGCGCGAAAGCGUGGGGAGCAAACAGG
rnacentral:rRNA from 1 species